AUUGAACGCUGGCGGCAUGCUUUACACAUGCAAGUCGAACGGUAACAGGCCGCAAGGUGCUGACGAGUGGCGAACGGGUGAGUAAUGCAUCGGAACGUGCCCAGUCGUGGGGGAUAACGCAGCGAAAGCUGUGCUAAUACCGCAUACGAUCUAUGGAUGAAAGCGGGGGACCGUAAGGCCUCGCGCGAUUGGAGCGGCCGAUGUCAGAUUAGGUAGUUGGUGGGGUAAAGGCCUACCAAGCCGACGAUCUGUAGCUGGUCUGAGAGGACGACCAGCGACACGGGGACUGAGACACGGCCCAGACGCCUACGGGAGGCAGCAGUGGGGAAUUGUGGACAAGGGGCGCAAGCCUGAUCCAGCAAUGCCGCGUGCAGGAAGAAGGCCUUCGGGUUGUAAACUGCUUUUGUACGGAACGAAACGGUCUGGGUUAAUACCCUGGGCUAAUGACGGUACCGUAAGAAUAAGCACCGGCUAACUACGUGCCAGCAGCCGCCGUAAGAC
rnacentral:rRNA from 1 species